UACGAAGGGGGCUAGCGUUGCUCGGAAUCACUGGGCGUAAAGGGUGCGUAGGCGGGUCUUUAAGUCAGGGGUGAAAUCCUGGAGCUCAACUCCAGAACUGCCUUUGAUACUGCAAAUCUCGAGUCCGGAAGAGGUGAGUGGAAUUCCUAGUGUAGAGGUGAAAUUCGUAGAUAUUGGGAAGAACACCGGUGGCGAAGGCGGCCUGCUGGGCAGUGGCUGACGCUGAGGCGCGACAGCGUGGGGAGCAAACAGG
rnacentral:rRNA from 1 species